CACCACUCAAGCCUGGCUUGGUAUUGAGCGCCGCGGCCUGCCCGCGCGCUCCAAUGUCUCCGGCUGAGCCGUCCGUCUCUAAGCGUUGUGAAUAGCGAUCGCUUGCGAGGCCCGGACGCGCUCGACGCCGUUAAACCCCCCAUUUUUACA
rnacentral:misc_RNA from 1 species